UUGUUUUUUUUUUUUUUUUUGUGACUCACGGGCCCUUUGUUCGUAUCUUGCUUUCUUGUAUGUCAGAAACCGCAGUGCCUACCACGACCAUCGCCACAGUGAAGGUCACCGGGACAUAUACUCAUGGCAGAGAUUUAGACGGUUGAAAAAUUAAGAAACAGGGCAGAAAAAGAAUGCAUGCUCCUGGCCGGGAGAGAUACACACGGCUAACUGGAGUCCAGUCUCUAACCACUUAUUAUGAUAGACGAUGCUCCAUGCAUAUGUCGUAAGAUUUUAUGUGAUAGAAAAUCUUGAAAAGUUUUUGACUUUUGGGGUGAACUAAAUAAGGCCUCAGGCCUUGUUUCGGGUGUCACUAAACAAGGCCUAAGUAGUAAUGUCUGUGAGCACGCCAUCUGAUCAAGAGCUGCGCCUGCCUACUGUCGACGGCCCAAGCACAGAGGAAGCAGACGUCUCCAAUAGCCAGCUCAGGAAGGCCCAACCCGGGUCACACACAAUGACCGAAAAUAUGUAGAGCUUGAAUCUCUACAGAUAAAGGUCUAUUGUCUGAUCUUGGUAAGGCCCAACCCGUUUUUGUUGUUGGUCCACAAGUGUCAAAAAAAGUUUGAAAGAGUAUUAAGGUCUUGUUUAGUUCACCCCAAAAACCAAAAAGUUUUCAAGAUUCCUCGUCACAUCGAAUCUUGCAGUACAUGCAUGAAGCACUAAAUACAGACGAAAACAAAAACUAAUUGAACAGUUUGUCAGUAAUUCGCGAGACGAAUCUUUUGAUCCUAAUUAGUCCAUAAUUAGACAAUAUUUAUCACAAACAAACGAAAGUGCUACAGUGUCAAAAUCCAAAAACUUUUCACAAAACAAGGCCUAAGAUGUCUACAAAGAAAAUGAAGUAAAAUGACCUGCUUAGAUGAUGCUAAACACUGGUAAAGUUUAGCAUCUUUUUCUUCUUUUCUUUUGCCAAGAAGAGAGAGCCUUUGUUAUUACUCAAUACUGGGUAUACUACAGUCUUGAGUACUAAUAUGCUCCAAAAUGAAUAUGAGACGUGGGGCAUAUGCCUAAGAAAAUUUAACAUGGUAGUUGUUGCAAGAACCAAACACAUACCUAAGAAAUUACGAGGCUACUAAGGGGCCUAUUUGGCAGGGCUCUGGCUCCUCCAAAAAACAGCUCCAGCUCUAGCUCUAGUUUGUGGUAAUUAUUGUCCAACUAUAGACUAACUAAACUCAAAAGAUUCGUCUCAUAAAUUUCGAUCAAACUGUGCAAUUAGUCUUUAUUUUUGUCUAUAUUCAUGAUUCAACGUGACAGGAAUCUUGAAAAAUUUUAGAUUUUUAGGUGGAAGUAAACAAGGCCUAAGUCUAAUACAAAAUGCUAGUUGAAAUAUUGCACUAUAAACUAUAAAGAUGUCCUAAACCAUUUAUAUUAGUAUAAUAUAUUCUUUCUUACCAUCAGUUUCUCAACUAUCCAAGUGACCUACCUGUAUGCAUGUAUCUACUCUACUCAUGAAACUCCAAAUGCUUGUCAUCUUAAGGGCGUGACAGCAAUGGGCAUGCACGGCAUGAGCCUGUGCUAACUCCAAACCAAUAAUAGUUCAAGUUCUUGGUGAUCUAUAUUUCGAAAGAUACUAUGUACUAUAAUUUUUUUUCUCAAAUUUAGACUAAUCUUAAAGUUGUACCGGGGAGCACUAGCAAUAUGCAUUUUGACCACUAGCAAUUAUCAGUUUAAUUUGUACUAUCGACAAACAAGCUUGCCAAUACACCUAAAUUAGCUUCAUUUUCUUGCGUCAAUAUAAGUAUGUAAUAAUACGGAGGCCGAAAAUCAACCUAAUAAGAAAAAUGAAAAUUCAUACUAAUGUGAAAUCUGUAACAACAACUAAAGCUCACUCUACCUAACAGUGGCAGAGCUUAAACAACAACCUAAAAGGGGCCACUAAUAAUAAUAUAUGCAUGAACUAAAUUAACCAUGGAUUAUUGUGUGUAUGUUUAUUAAUAAUUAAGAAUUUAGGCGCGGUCAUGGCACAAGUUGGUGUUAUCUAUUCUUUGCUCCUGCUAAGACACGUUAUUUUGUGAGAGUAACCAUACACUAUACAGUCGAGCAUUGGCGGACUCAAGGGGGGGUUGGGGUGGCUGCAGCCCCCCUUUUGGGCUCAAAAAAAUUUUAACAGAUUUUCUUUUUAGCAAAAGACUCUAUGUAUUUGGUAUUUUUCUAUGUUUAUUCUAUGAAUCUUUGCUUUUGAACACUUUGAAUCAGUAUUGAAUUAUCAAUCUUAGCUAUAUAUCUAUUAAUGUACUGGAUUGAGCGAGCAAAAAAAAAUUUAGCUAUGUUAUUUAGCUCCCCGCUUGGUCCAUUUCUGGGUCCGCCACUGCAGUCAAGCAUCUCCACUAGAUUGAGAAAACCAAAUUGUAGAAAACAGGAGAAGUGUUGUGCAGCAUAUUGAGAAUUCAUGCGCUUUCCAUUCGUGUUAGUGACCACAUUUAUUGUCACUUUCUUCAUCUCUACUCUCUUUUGUCAUGUCCUUCUCUCCCUUCUCCCUCAAAAGCCAUAACCACCUCGUCAUACUUUGUCAAGCGAGUAGCCUUGUCCGGGCAUAGCCAUCACUAGCGAUGGCCGAGUGGUGCGGCUCUCCCAAGUGGUCUCACUACAUGGCAGUCGAUAGUAGCGUAGUGUUGCUCCUGAUCUCGCCCACGCAUGGCUAGAGGCCACCACGACAAGCCCACAUAAUGGAUAGCCUUGCUCGCCGUUGUGGAGGUUGGCGCUGCUUGCCCGCCAAUGGUCUUCACCUAAUCACCCUCCAUGUGGCUCCUAGGCUUGGUCACCUAUAUAUGUAGUGAUUGAUGUGGCGGAAUGGCCGACCCAUGCGCUCAUCGCCUAGCUAGCAUAGUGAAAUCGCUAGCCCACGUGCUACACGAGUCCCCAAUGGCGCCCUUUGUCACCACCUCCUUCUUAAGUCGUGGUGUCUCUAGCUGUUGCAUUGACGUCGUGAACACCACUUUCGCCAUGUCUCUAGCCGAUACACACAAGUGCAUGGCGGGAGGGUAAGGGAAGAGGGAUUGGUUUGAUAUCCCUUUCUCUGGCGGAUUAAGCGGGUGGCUUUCUCAAUUAAUAUAAAAUUAGAGUAAAGAGAUUAGAAAGGGGUUUGGUGGAGUUUACUCUUCGCCUUCAAACUUUAUUAUCACUAGCUACAAAAAGGGGAUCAUUUUAUUCUUAAUCCGAUUAACAUGCUCUAACACAUCUCUCAUUUCUCAUGUUGUAACCCUAUGUAUCACUGUGUUGUACUCAAUCCCAGACAGCGAUAGAUGGUGUCAUCCAGGUCCUUCAGAACCGUCAGCAAACUACCGGGUUAUAGGGUUCAAGUGCGUAGUUGCUUUUAAUCCUCGAGAUACCGGCCAUCAUAAUUGAGCUCUUAUAAAUUGGGUGGUUCUGUCACACGAUGUUUCUGGAAUUUGGUCCGAAACAUCUUCAAAAAUCACCUAUUUUGGUGAGGGCUAAAACAGCAUCGCACUUCGGACAAAAUCUGAACUUUUAGCCUAGUCUAAAGUUCGAAGCAAGGAUGCAUGAAAUUAAGCUAAUUAUUAGCUAAACAUUAGUUUCCUGUAAAAUUUCAAACUUGUCCUAAUCAUCAGUUUCCUCUUUAUGCCGCCCUCUUGAUCAAAUUUUGUUUAAAAUUCAUCUAACUAUUAGCUAAACAUGAAUAUUUUCACUGGUCAACAGAAUGAAUCCAGGUCCAAAAAUUGCAAGAUUCACCUAUAUAAUUCCGUUGAGUCCAAAAAGAUUGUAUAUCAUUUAAAUCGCAUACCCAGUUCCAAACAUGAAAUACGUAUUCCCCAUUUCCCCACUACGUACCUUCCCGGUACCAACCUUCCACCCAACACACACAGCGUCACAACAAUCACAAUGCGAUGCAACACACUCUGCCCGCUUAUCACAUCGCAAGGAUGCAUGAAAAGGCUUAAAAGAUCGCAUGCAUACGUGCAUGCUCAGCAGCCAUGCCCAAGCCAAGAUCCUUGCUUCUCCACCUUCUCCUAACCUACACCUGCUGCUUUCCCAACGCCGGCGCCGAUGACGAUGCCCCGCCGUCGUCGUCGUCGUCGUUCCAGGGAGAAUGGCAGCUCCUCCACGCGAGCAUCGGCGUGUCGGCGAUGCACAUGCAGCUGCUCCCGGGUGACUUCGUCCUCAUGUUCGACCGCACCGACACGGGUCCUUCCAACAUCUCCCUCGCCGCGCAGGCGCCGUGCGCGGCCACCGCCGACGACGGCGGCGCCGCCGACUGCACGGCGCACUCGGUGCUCCUGGACCUCCGCUCCAACGUGCUCCACCCGUACCCGCUCGCCACCAACCCGUGGUGCUCCUCGGGUGCCCUGCUCCCCAACGGCACGCUCCUCCAGACCGGCGGCUUCUCCAGCGGCGACCGCGUCGCGCGGCUCUUCUCCCCGGCCACGGGCUGGGUCGAGCUCCCCUCGUUCCUCGCCGCGCGGCGGUGGUACGCCACCGACAUGAUCCUCCCCGACGGCCGCGUCCUCAUCCUCGGCGGCCGCCGGCAGUUCAACCUCGAGUACUUCCCGCACGACGACGCGCCGCCGCUGACGCUCUUCCCGUUCCUGGACGAGACGACGGAGCCCGACGCCGAGAACAACCUGUACCCGUUCCUCCACCUCCUCCCCGACGGCACCGUCUUCGUCUUCGCCAACGACCGCGCCGUCGUCUUCGACCCCUACAACCGCGCCCCGCUCCGCCGCCUCCCGGCCGUCCCCGGCGGCGUGCCGAGGAACUACCCGUCGUCGGGCUCGUCCGUGCUCCUCCCCCUCCGCCCCGACGCGCCCGCGCACGCCGAGGUGCUGGUCUGCGGCGGCGCGCCGCGGGGCGCGUACCACCUCGCGCUGCGGAACGGCACGUUCGUCGCCGCCGACCGGACCUGCGCCCGCGUCGCGCCCACGGACCCGGACCCCGUCGUGUGGGCGAUCGAGGAGAUGCCGACGGCGAGGGUGAUGGGCGACAUGGUGCUGCUGCCCACGGGCGACGUGCUGAUCGUGAACGGCGCCGCGGCGGGCACCGCCGGGUGGGAGCUGGGGCGGGAGCCGGUGACGCGUCCCGUGCUGUACAGGCCGGACGCGCCGCUGGGGGAGCGGUUCGACGAGGCGUCGCUGGCGGCGUCGGCGGUGGCGAGGAUGUACCACUCGUCGGCGGCGCUGGACACGUACGGCCGCGUGCUGGUGGGCGGAAGCAACCCGCACGUCGGGUACGUGUUCGCCAACGUGACGUACCCGACGGAGCUGAGCCUGGAGGCGUUCCUGCCGCCGUACAUGGACCGGCGGCACGACGGGGCGCGGCCGCGGCUGCUGUGGGCGCCGGCCGAGGUCGGGUACGGCGAGGCGACGGCCGUGAAGUUCGUGGUACCGGCGGGCGGGGGGGAGGUGCGGGUGGUGGCGGUGGCUCCGGCGUUCGCGACGCACUCGUUCGGGAUGAACCAGCGGGCGGUGGAGCUCGCCGUGGGGAGCGUGGCGCAGCUGGAGGUCGGGGUUUACGAGGCCGUGGUCGCCGCGCCGCCGACGCCCGGGGUGGCGCCGCCCGGGUACUACAUGUGGUUCGUGGUGCACGCCGGCGUGCCCAGCAGCAGCGCCGCGUGGGUGCGCAUGCGGCCGCUCGGACCUGCACCUGCCCCCUGAAGUCAGUCCAGAGUUGCAUUUUGAGUGGGUGUUUUGACUUUUGACUACCUAUAUACUACUGAUAGUAGGAUAGAUUCAAGUUCAACUAUACACAUCAAAGUUUGCAAUAGAAUAAAUUUCAAUUUUUAUACUGUCACAGUGGAGUGGAUUCCCUCAAAGAGCAAAAGGUUUUAUCUUUUUUUUCUUUAUUUAUAUCAUUUUUUGGCAUAUAUUAUAAAAUAUAAUAUAAUAUACUUUCUCCGUUCAUAAAAGAAUAUAAUUAUGUGAUUUGUGCCGAUGAAACUAAUUAAAAUUUAACCAAGUUUAUUAUAAAUAGUAUUAGCAUUUAUGUCCCAAGUAAAUUUAUAGUAUAAAAAUAUAUCUAUAAUUAAUCUAAUGAUACUUAUAUCUUUUAUAUAAAUGUCAUAAAUUUUAAAUUAUUUGACUUCUAAAAAAGAGAAUUGUAUUUUUUUCUUGAAUGAAGUAACUUGGCAUAACAAUUUGUAACUUUGCUUAACAAUAUGAGGUUUGCAAUGGAGAAAAAAAUUCCAAAUUCUAUAUAUACGACCAAAUGCUUUAUCAUUUUUUUUUCUUUAUCAAUUUCUUCUGAUCAUAUAUAAUUACAAUAUAACUUUGCUUGACCAUUUUUAUUUCUCCCACCCCUGCGCUCUACGGUGCUUGUUGAACCGCUCAGUGUCAUCCCGUGCGAAAGAUGCAUGUUUAUACUGGUGAACAGUGAGUUUUUAUGAAAAUCUCCCUGGCUACUUUGUGUGGGGGGUUUUACUAUAGCUUUUUGCAGGCUUAUGGCAUCUUGUACGGAGUACAUUACAUCGUAAGAUGUUUGUAAACUCCAAUAAAUAGAGCCUUAGCGACAGCAAGCUUGAUACAAGAGUUGCGCACGAGAUGGAGCAUCACCUGUCACGAUAGCAUUCUAGCAUAAUGAAAUGGACCGGGCGACUGGCGGCAAGAUGGACGAGAAGGCCAGCGGUAGGGCGUGCAUUGACAUCACGAGUGAAAUGGUGAUUUAAACACCAUCUUGCACCUGCUAAAUUGUAGCUCUCUCAUCCUAAUUGGCGGCAAGGACUCAAACUCCUCCAGACUAACAGUUAGCACUAGUUAUUAGUUAGGGCUAAAAGUUGAUUCAAGUUAGCUGGAAUUAGCUAACUACUUGGCUAACACCUAGUUAGAGGUUUAGCUAAAAUAUUAGCUCAUCUUUAACCUCCUGUUUGAAUGAGCUAAGAUUAAUUUCAGCUGAUUUUAACUGUCCAACAAUUAACACACUUGAUACCUGAAUAGACCUUAAAUUCAUGAUUCGCCCCUUCUUCAAGAAACUGGCAAUAUAUUUGUUUGGUCUAACUAGUUGUCUUAUAAGUCCUACUAUAAGGUGGAGCAUUUAAUUAAAGUGGGUUUGCGAAUGGAAAUGAGACUGCAUAGAAAUAGAUGGUAUGUGAUAGGAGAAUAUAAGCUUUUAUUUCUUUUAACAUUUCCUUUGUUUAGUAUGAGAUGAAUUUCAUUAUAAUACGGAAAUGAAUAGCAAUUACCAAAUAACCACAAUAACCUUCUUAAAGGAAGAAGCAACCAAUCAAAAGUGGCACACUUCUUACUCAUAUAUAACUCCUAUUACUACACUUUGAGCAUCUCCAAAGAGUGUCUAAAAUUCAAAGCCAAAAGUUGAUGUUGGGUGCUUGGAGGAAAACACCCUUCCAAUACCCGCCUAAAUCGCCACCUAUUUAUUUAAGGCGGGGGAGGGGGAGUACCUUUCCAAUAGUCGCCUAAAUAAUCAUCCUAUUUUACCGCCUCUAUUUUUGUUUUUUUGCAUGUCAUCUUAGUCUUGUCCUAAUAAGUCAAAUAUUUGUAUCUUUGGCCAUCGAUUUCAAAACUUUUUUAUAUAGGUUCAUGAUAUAAGAUUUAUGUUUUGAUAUUCUCUAUGAGAAAUGCUUUCAUAGUAUACAAUUCAUACAUUAUGAAACUAUAAGGAUUUUUUUUGGAAUGGAUGGUCAAAGAUAGUAUUAUUUAUCUUAGGACAAAACUAAUGUGACAUGAAAAGAAUAGAGAGAGAGUAGUUAUUAAUUGGAAUUGGCUAGAGGUGACCGGUGAGGCCCAUACGAUGAUAUAGUAGGCUUUAGGCAAAAAUAGGGUGUUCUUAGAGAAACUACUUUUUUCACCCAAUAUAUUUUUGCAAACAUAGUUUUUUUACUUUUUUUUUGGCACUCUUGGAAUUUUUAGGUUUCAAAAUGUGAGGAAAGAAGGCCUUAUAUGGCGAACCCUGAUACCCAUAUCUGAAACCUCUUGCUUGUUUAGUUCCAAAAAUUUUUGGGAGGACAACACUGUAGCGCUUUUGUUUUUAUUUGACAAACAUUAUCCAAUUAUGGAGUAACUAGGCUUAAAAGAUUUGUCUCACGAUUUACAGGCAAAUUAUAUAAUUAGUUUUUAUUUUCAUCUAUAUUUAAUGCUCCAUGCAUGUGCCGCAAGAUUCAAUGUGACAGGGAAUCUUGAAAAGUUUUGAUUUUUGGAGUGAACUAAACAAGUCCAAUAGCCUAAACGGCUAAAUCCAAACAGUGGACAUGGUGCAAUAAGUUAGGGGUGUUUGGUUGGCGUGUUAAAAUUUAGCAGGCACUGUAGUAUUUUUGUUUUAUUUGAUAAUUAGUGUCCAAUCAUUGACUAAUUAGGCUCAAAAGAUUUGUUUUGCAAAUUAUUCUCUAGCUAUGUUUUUAGUUUUGUAAAUAUUAUAUAUUUAAUACUUCUAUUCAAAUAUUCGAUGUGAAGGAAGUUAACAAAAUCAGGAGAAAUCAAACAGGGCCUUAGCUGAGCAUUGCGCCAUCGUUGUCAAUCACUGGUGCACAACAAAGGUGGGAGCUUGAUAGAGCUAUGUGGGUGAUUCUUAUAAAAGUUUAAGGCUCCAUUCGGUUACAAGAAAAUCACCUAAAGCAAUGCAUGGUGAAAGACUCCACGGAGAUAAAGACAAGUGUAAAUAUCUGCCCGGUGAUUAAGGUGACAACUUUUUUUACUAACAAUUCUCAAAAAGAAAUACGCUAGUAGUCCAAGUUAGGAGUCUUAUUAUAUAUCGUGAAAGUUUUCCCAUGGCAUAACAUAUCUAUGAUUUCUUCCUAAACUACAAGGCAUUCUGGCUUUGCGCUGGCCCUCAUACAUUUUAUUAUUACCGGAUGCAAAUAGCAAUACAUUAUUUAUUUAUUUGACCAAACAUUGGGCAAACAAGGCAGAAAAGCCUAGCAAAAUUGGCCCAAAAAUGGCCAGAGAACCAGAUGGCGAUGGCGAUGGCGAUGGCUCGGCAAGGGCCGCCGUGGAUCCCAAGAGUGCCCACGCGCAAGGCCCAGCCAAGAACCCCGACGCCAGAAGCGAGACAGGACGAAGACCGUGAUGCGAGAGCGACAAGAAACGGCCGGCCCGGCCGACCUCGGCGGCGCCGGCGUCUUGGGAUUCUCCGCCCGACCGCGCGCCUUUAUUUCCCUUCCCUCUCUCUCUCUCCUUCACUCUCCGCGCCGUCCUCUGGCUCCACUGCCCGCUUGCCGCCACCCUGCAUUUCACGCCCGCAGCAGGUACGCGCGCGCUCUGGCUCUGCCUCUGGCUCUGUUCGUUUCCGUUUCGACUGAGCUUGGGAUCCAUAGCUCGGGUGUUGUCGUCGUACUUGCGCGCUGCGCCGCCGCCGACGUGCGAUCUCUCUGCUCUGGUGUGCGAGUGCGAACCGUCUCGCUGCCCAGUUCUCUGCGUCUGCUAAACCUGUGGUUUGCGUUUAGACUAUUCAUUCAAGGGGCCAUGCUAGCUAGGACAGUGUUACUUUCAGUUCACUGGAAUUUCAGUCGUAGUUAGUCGCCACACGAUUGGUAGGACUGGAGUGAUUUCAGUGACUUGGGGGUAAAUGGUGAUCCAGAAAGUUCUUGCUUUGUUCACUCCGUACCAAAGGAAACAUUCUCCUAGCAAUCGCUGCUCUGUUACUUAUGCUGGAGUUGUGGCCUUUUGAGAACUGAAGUUUCACUGUUUCAGAUAUCACUCUGAACUUAUUACCAAACAAUCCUUAGUGGAAUUCUGUAACAUGUUUUGUACAGGUAGUCACUCAGAAUGUGUAGUUCUAGUUGUAAUCAGUAUAACAAUAGAAAAUGAACCAUAUAGCUGACGCUGCUAUUUUUUGGCCCUUUUUUUUCCUAACUAUUAACAUUGGGAGAACUAAAUUUUGUGGAAAACUUAACCCAAUGAAAUUAUUUUUGCAGGUUUCUGACUCCAAGACCUCUGCCCAAAAAAGUGUUGCAUAUUGAUACUCGAUAAGGCAGAAGCAAUAUGAAUCCCUAUUUCUUGGGUUUCAUUCUCCCUUUUGUGGCGUCUCUGCUGCUCACCAAGAGGAAGUCUGAGAAGAAGAGGGGUGUGCCAGUCAAUGUGGGUGGAGAGCCUGGCUGCGCCAUUCGUAACCACAGAUUUGAGAGGCCUGUCGAGACGCGCUGGGAGGGGAUUUCCACGCUUGCUGAGCUAUUUGAGCAGUCAUGCAAACAGUUUGCCUGCAUGCCCCUGCUUGGUACCAGGAAGCUCAUCGCAAGGGAAAUGGUGGUGGCCGCCGACGGAAGAUCCUUUGAGAAGCUCCAUUUGGGAAAUUAUGAGUGGAAGAGCUAUGCUGAUGCGUUCAAAACUGUCUGCAACUUCGCUUCUGGUCUUCUGCGGAUUGGGCACCUGAAAGAUGAGCGUGUUGCUAUUUUUGCUGAUACACGGGCUGAGUGGCAGAUUGCGUUGCAGGUACUUUCUCAACCCAUCUGCAGAUAUUGGCAAAUAUAGAUGCUAUCGAUAUCUGAAGUGUAGUGUAGAUAAUGCAAAUUCGUCCUCAGGUUUCUCCAUCAUCUCAUUCACAAUACAAUUGAUGUUAGCCUUCUUGAUGAAUGCACAGUGAUAGUGAUAGGGACAUGAAGAUUUAACAAGUUAUUUGUACUGUUGCAUGAAAACUGGUUUAUUCUACGACAUCGCCACGUAAUGUGGAAAUAUGUUAUGCUGUUUUGCGCUUUUGCUUAUGUUUUUUUUUUCUGUGUUAAAUGAAUUUUGCCACCACAAUUUACCUAUGCUAUUGAGUUAACAUUUAGCUUGGCAAAUCUAUUGCUAUAUCAAUGAUCUUUUAUCCCUCUCUUUGCUAGGCGUGCUUCAGGCAAAACAUUGCAGUUGUCACAAUCUAUGCCUCUUUGGGGGAGGGAGCGCUAUGUCACUCACUAAAUGAGGUUGGAUUACUUCAUCCAAUGUUGUCUAUAUAUUGAAAAUCAUUGUUUGUAACCGUCCUCAGGCCCUUACAACUCUUCUUUUUUAGUUAACUGUGGCGUCUCUCUUUUAUAUGGUCACCAUAUACUGAAACAUUAUUCCUUAAGGAUUUACAAUGCCAUACCUAUUAUAUGUGGCACUGUUGUACUUUCAUCUGAUUUUAUUCUUAGUUUUACUAUUUAGACUGAGGUAACUACUGUUGUGUGCGGGCGGAAAGAACUUAAAAAGCUGAUUGAUAUAAGUGGGCAACUUGACACUGUGAAACAUGUCAUCUACAUUAAUGAGGAAGGUGUCUCGGCUGAAGUAUCCUUGGCUCAAAACUGUACUAGCUGGACCGUCAUGUCAUUUGAGGAGGUAGAGAGCAUAGGAUUGCAAAGACCUGUCGAAGAAAACUUGCCUCUCGCAUCAGAUACUGCAGUGAUUAUGUAUACGAGCGGGAGCACAGGAAUGCCUAAGGUUUGUUCAAAUCCUAGUAUUUCAACAUUUUCAUUUUGGUUUUGCAGCAGAUCUGAAAUAAACUCUCUUUAUUUAGUAGUGUUCAUGUUAGAUCACCUCAGCAUGUGUACACUUAUCAAUGGUUGUUUUUUCUGAGAUAAUCUACUCCGCAACUUCUUUCAGUUGAGGCAACAUUCUUGUUUGUAUAAUUUUUCACAGGGAGUCAUGAUGAGCCACCGAAAUGUUUUGGCUGUAGUUUCAGCUGUUAUGACCAUUGUGCCUGGUCUUGGCAAGAAGGAUGUGUACCUGGCAUAUCUUCCCCUAGCACAUAUCCUUGAAUUGGCAGCUGAGGUAAGCGUUGACAUGCUUGUCAGUCACAAUUCCAUAUUGUUGUUCUUUCUUACGCUCACUCACUCUAUGUUACUGGAAUGUUUAGGCAAUCAUAACUGGUGUUGGGGCUUCAAUUGGAUAUGGGUCACCUUUGACCCUGACUGAUACAUCAAAUAAAAUAAAAAAAGGGACGCAGGGUGAUGCUUCUGUACUGAAGCCAACACUAAUGACUGCUGUACCUGCUAUACUUGAUCAUGUUCGUGAUGGUGUACGAAAAAAUGUAAUGUUCUUUAUAAUUAGUUCAUGCAUUGAUUUUUGUGCUCUUUCAUGUUCUCUCAACUGUUAUAUUUUUUCACGCUGAGAUAAACUCAGGUAGAUGCAAAAGGUGGGUUAGCGAAGAGAUUAUUUGAUAUUGCCUACAGCCGCCGUCUAGCUGCUGUUAAUGGAAGCUGGUUGGGGGCAUGGGGACUAGAGAAGCUCUUGUGGGAUAUGCUUGUGUUCCAAAAGGUUCGUGCAAUCUUAGGAGGACGGAUUCGCUUUAUUCUUGCAGGUGGAGCACCUCUGUCAGGGGACACUCAGAGAUUUAUCAAUAUAUGUCUUGGGUGAGAUUCAAAUCUUCUUUUUUCCAGUGACAUUCUCAAUUUGUGUUGUGACGCCAAUGCCAUCUGUUGCCCACUUUGUUUCACAAAUUUGGCAUCAAACAUUCAAGUCAAUGGCUUGCACAUGAAUAUAUGAUUGUUUAAUUAUAUUUAAAGCACAGAAAUUGAUUUGAAAAUUUAUGUUAUUGCAGGGCUCCAAUAUCUCAAGGAUAUGGCCUGACUGAAACUUGUGCCGGUGGGACAUUUUCAGAGUACGAUGAAACAUCUGUUGGCCGUGUUGGUCCCCCUCUGCCUUGUUCAUACAUUAAGGUAUAGAACCAAAGUUGUUUUUUGUCUAGUUAUAUUUACUUCAGCUGAAAUUGGUCUCCCAUAGCAGUAUAAGCAUUUUUUCCAUUCAUGGUACAGUUGACAACAGGUCUUGUUGAUUAUCUGGUGAAGUCUUGAAGAUUUUCUGUAGUUGCAAACGGUUUAUUUUUAGCUAUGCCAGUGCCAUAUUAAUGUAUUUGAGAAAAAGUGCCCUUGGCUCCAGAUUCAUUUUUUUUCCUAACUUAAUUUUAAUUAUAUUCACACAUGAUAGUUGGUAGACUGGGCUGAAGGUGGAUACUUAACAACUGAUUCACCAAUGCCUCGUGGUGAAAUAGUUAUUGGAGGUCCAAGUGUAACUAAAGGCUACUUCAAAAAUGAAGCAAAAACAAAUGAGGUGUACAAGGUGUGUUUCCAACAAUACCCAGUGCCCAGGAAAGUGUUUAUUGUGGCAACUUUUCUUGAACACUAUGCAUCCUUUGAAGGUUGAUGAAAGAGGCAUGCGGUGGUUCUACUCUGGUGACAUUGGGCGCUUGCACCCUGACGGGUGUCUUGAAAUUAUUGACCGUAAGAAGGACAUAGUCAAGCUUCAACAUGGUGAAUAUGUUUCUCUAGGAAAGGUAGGCAGGCUUCUUUGUUCUAACCAAACAAAACAAGUUGUUAAUCAAUUCUAACUAAUAACAAUGCAAUCACAGGUGGAGGCUGCUUUGAGUGUGUGCUCAUACGUUGACCAGAUCAUGAUCCAUGCUGACCCCUUCCACAACUACUGUGUCGCGCUUAUUGUAGCUGCACAGAGUGAGUUGAAAAACUGGGCCUCAAAACAAGGAAUGACAUAUAGUGAUUUCUCAGAUUUGUGCCAGAAGCAAGGGACAGUCAAAGAAGUCCUCCAAUCUUUGGUGAAGGUUUGUGUUCUGGCUGCAUCUCAGUUAAUUCAUUCCUGAUACCUCCUUCAAUAUAAUGCUUCAGUAAUUGUUGCAUUUGCUAGAAGAUAAAACUAUACCAAUUGCUUUUUUGUUCCAAAUUUUCUUUGAGAAAUACAAAGGCAAUAUAUAUUAUACCUCAUAGCAGUACAACUUUGUAAAUCAAAUGUUACGGGCAUCAUAGGUACCGCAUGGUGUGUUGUAUGAUAAUUACCUGAUUUUACUGAUACGUGCUUGUUCUCCAGGCUGCUAAGCAAGCACGACUGGAGAAAUUUGAGAUCCCAGCCAAAAUUAAGUUGAUACCAGAGCCAUGGACGCCGGAGUCAGGCCUCGUUACGGCUGCCCUAAAGCUCAAGAGGGAGGUCAUCAAGAAGGCAUACGAGAUAGACCUUGCCCAGUUGUACAGCUAAUGACGCUGCCGCUACAAGGUGUUCCUUGGUAGCAACUGGCAGCAACAGAAGUUGUUUUUGUAGUACUUCGUACUAGUAUGUUUGAAAGCACCCCUUUUUUCUUUGAAGACAACAGUUGACUGUUAAGAUGAGAGAAUGGUAAAUCAGUUGCCAAAUAAUGUGUAGAGUUCCCCCACGCGCCAGUGGGGAACUAGUUGUAUGUAUACCUUAAAUGGAAUUAAGGAUUCCUUCCACUUUGGUUCCCAUAACUUCUACGAUGUCAAAGAAGUAAUAAUUUCAACAAAUAACCAUUGGCAGUUGUGAUUAGAUCAGCAUGUAAAUUCAUGCAGUAACAGAUCUGAGACACUGCUCAACAGAAUUGCAAGGGGCAGGAAUCUCUAGCAGCUUGAUUUCAAUAUAUUCAAGAUUCUGUACUUCAUACAACCUUUCAACCAUUGGCUCAAAAAACAUCAAACAAACCAUCAGCUAUCACGGUGGACAUGCUCAAGUAUAGAUGACAAUGAAAAUCCAGGGAUCCAGUAAAGGGGCAAUGAAAUAUAUAUAUAUCACGUUAUUAUUUGGCUACAAUUCCGUGUUCUUUAUUCACCAAGGAUAAAAUUAAAUCCACUUAGCCCAGGAGCAUCCAUCCAACCUUAACCCAAAAAAUAUAACCUCUGCUUGACACCACCAAAACCAACAUGACUGGAAGUGUCACCUUCCUUCAGCUACAGAUUGUUUCAUUAAUACAUGGUAACAAAAAUAAACUAGACAAGGG
rnacentral:lncRNA from 1 species